rfam:Dipodomys ordii contig_21818, whole genome shotgun sequence.
GGGAAGGUGGCUCAGUGGUAGAGCACUUGCCUUGCAUGCAUGACGUCCUGGGUUCGAUUCCUCAGCACCCCA